rnacentral:sRNA from 1 species
CCGACUUGUUGAGCUUGGAUGCCGCCGUC